rnacentral:misc_RNA from 1 species
CCUAGAGUUGUAGGCUUUGCCUGCUAUCUCUUACCCAUGUCUUUUGAGUACCUUACGUUUCCUCGGUGGGUUCGCCCACCGAUUGGACAAACUUAAACCCUUUGCAGUUGAAAUCAGCGUCUGAAAAAACUUAAUAGUUG